UUCAAACCCUCGGCCCGGCUGAUCUCAACUACAACAAAUCGAACCCGAAAUCUUCCCUUCAAUAUCACUGAAUCCGCUACUAGAUUGAUGAAGACUUCCUCUUCUCAAUCACCUUCGCUCAGCUGAAAAUUGAUGAAGAAUUCGUCCAAAAACCCCCAAACACAAACCAGUCUUGGAGGACAAAACCCUAACGGUUUUAUUCAAG
rnacentral:lncRNA from 1 species